rnacentral:rRNA from 1 species
AUUGAACGCUGGCGGCAUGCCCUACACAUGCAAGUCGAACGGCAGCACGGGUGCUUGCACCUGGUGGCGAGUGGCGAACAGGUGAGUAAUACAUCGGAACGUACCUUAUCGUGGGGGAUAACGCAGCGAAAGCUGUGCUAAUACCGCAUGAGCCCUGAGGGGGAAAGGGGGGGAUCGAAAGACCUCGCGCGAUUAGAGCGGCCGAUGCCUGAUUAGCUUGUUGGGGGGGUAAAAGCACACCAAGGCGACGAUCAGUAGCUGGUCUGAGAGGACGAUCAGCCACACGUGGACGGGGACACGGCCCAGACUCCUGCGGGAGGCAGCAGUGGGGAAUUUUGGACAAUGGGGGCAACCCUGAUCCAGCAAUGCCGCGUGAGUGAAGAAGGCCUUCGGGUUGUAAAGCUCUUUUGUCAGGGAAGAAACACCGGCUCUAACACAGUCCGGGAAUGACGGUACCUGAAGAAUAAGCACCGGCUAACUACGUGCCAGCCGCCGCAGUAA